rnacentral:SRP_RNA from 1 species
GCCGGACGCGGUGGCGCGCGCCUGUAGUCCCAGCUACUUGGGAGGCUGAGAUGGGAGGAUCGCUUGAGCCCAGGAGUUCUGGGCUGUAGUGCGCUAUGCCGAUCGGGUGUCCACACUAAGUUCGGCAUCAAUAUGGUGACCUCCCGGGAGCGGGGGACCACCAGGUUGCCUAAGGAGGGGUGAACCGGCCCAGGUCGGAAACGGAGCAGGUCAAAACUCCCGUGCUGAUCAGUAGUGGGAUCACGCCUGUGAAUAGCCACUGCACUCCAGCCUGGGCAACAUAGCGAGACCCCGUCUCU